GACGUACUGGGCGAACGUUACUCGGAAUCACUGGGCUUAAAGGGUGCGUAGGCGGCCCGUCCAGUCGGGUGUGAAAGGCCUCGGCUCAACCGAGGCAGGGCAUCCGAAACUGACGGGCUUGAGUGCGCUAGAGGUGUGCGGAACUUCCAGUGGAGCGGUGAAAUGUGUUGAUAUUGGAAGGAACGCCGGUGGCGAAAGCGGCACACUGGGGCGCAACUGACGCUGAGGCACGAAAGCCAGGGGAGCGAACGGG
rnacentral:misc_RNA from 1 species